AAUGCUAUUAUAAUAUGCCUACACUAUUAAACACACGAACUAGGACCAAAUGUCACCGGGAUAUAGACCUAUAAAAUGCGUACAUGGGUGAGCAUAUUUAUUACGGCCACAUGUACAGCGUGUUUCACUCAAAUGAUAGCAUGACAUUUCAGCUAGAUGUAGGUAUCCAUUUCGAACCCAUUUUCAAAAUCUAAUUCUUGAGGUAAACAAAACUUACUUUUUCUUAAAUAGACACGCUUAUUAUUUUAAACACAAGAUU